UACGUAGGGCGCAAGCGUUGUCCGGAAUUAUUGGGCGUAAAGAGCUCGUAGGUGGCGUGUCGCGUCUGCCGUGAAAGCCCAUGGCUUAACUGUGGGUCUGCGGUGGAUACGGGCAGGCUGGAGGCUGGUAGGGGCAAGCGGAAUUCCUGGUGUAGCGGUGAGAUGCGCAGAUAUCAGGAGGAACACCGGUGGCGAAGGCGGCUUGCUGGGCCAGUUCUGACGCUGAGGAGCGAAAGCGUGGGGAGCGAACAGG
rnacentral:rRNA from 1 species